GGCCCCUAACACGUGGGUAACCUACCUAUAAGACUGGAAUAACUUCGGGAAACCGGAGCUAAUGCCGGAUAACAUAUAGAACCGCAUGGUUCUAUAGUGAAAGAUGGUUUUGCUAUCACUUAUAGAUGGACCCGCGCCGUAUUAGCUAGUUGGUAAGGUAAUGGCUUACCAAGGCGACGAUACGUAGCCGACCUGAGAGGGUGAUCGGCCACACUGGAACUGAGACACGGUCCAGACUCCUACGGGAGGCAGCAGUAGGGAAUCUUCCGCAAUGGGCGAAAGCCUGACGGAGCAACGCCGCGUGAGUGAUGAAGGUUUUCGGAUCGUAAAACUCUGUUAUUAGGGAAGAACAAAUGCGUAAGUAACUGUGCGCAUCUUGACGGUACCUAAUCAGAAAGCCACGGCUAACUACGUGCCAGCAGCCGCGGUAAUACGUAGGUGGCAAGCGUUAUCCGGAAUUAUUGGGCGUAAAGCGCGCGUAGGCGGUUUCUUAAGUCUGAUGUGAAAGCCCACGGCUCAACCGUGGAGGGUCAUUGGAAACUGGGAAACUUGAGUGCAGAAGAGGAAAGUGGAAUUCCAUGUGUAGCGGUGAAAUGCGCAGAGAUAUGGAGGAACACCAGUGGCGAAGGCGACUUUCUGGUCUGUAACUGACGCUGAUGUGCGAAAGCGUGGGGAUCAAACAGGAUUAGAUACCCUGGUAGUCCACGCCGUAUCGAUGAGUGCUAGUGUUAGGGGGUUUCCGCCCUCUUACUGCUGCAGCUAACGCAUAAGCACUCCGCCUGGGGAGUACGACCGCAAGGUUGAAACUCAAAGGAAUUGACGGGGACCGCACAGCGGUGUAGCAUGUGUAUUAAUUCGAACCACCGGAAGGACCUUUCCCAAUUCUGGCCUUCUUUGAAAACUUCUGGGAAAGAACCCUUCCCUUUGGGGGGCAAAGUGACCGGUGGGGCCAGGUUGUUGUUCAGUUGGGUUGGGGGAAGGUGGGGUAAAUUCCGCCACGGGGGCCACCCUUUAAGUUUGUUGCCCUCCAUAAAUUGGGCCAUUUUGGUUGGCUUCCGGGGGCCAACCGGGGGAAGGGGGGGGAGGAGUCAAAUUCUCCAUCCCCUUUAGGUUUGGGGUUCCCCCGGGGUUCCAAGGGCCAAUCCAAGGGCCAGUUAACCCGGGGGUCCAGCCAAUUCCCAAAAAUUGUUUUCCAUUUGGGAUGUUGUUUGCAACUUGGAUUCCAGAAAGCGGGAUUGGUUGUUAUUGGAGGUCCACCUGGUUCGGGGGAUUCGUUUCCGGGUUUUGGUCCCCCCCCCCGUCCCCCCCCGGGGAUUUGGAA
rnacentral:rRNA from 1 species